UACGUAGGCGGAAAAUUAAGUCAGUAGUGAAAUCCUGCAGCUUAACUGUAGAACUGUUAUUGAUACUGGUUUUCCUGAAUAUAGUUGAGGUAAGCGGAAUGUGUAAUGUAGCGGUGAAAUGCUUAGAUAUUACACAGAACACCGAUUGCGAAGGCAGCUUACUAAGCUAUGAUUGACGCUGAGGUACGAAAGCGUGGGGAGCGAACAGGAUUAGAUACCCUGGUAGUCC
rnacentral:rRNA from 1 species